rnacentral:rRNA from 1 species
AGCGGAGGAAAAGAAACCAACAGGGAUUGCCUCAGUAACGGCGAGUGAAGCGGCAACAGCUCAAAUUUUAAAGCUGGCGUCUUUGGCGUCCGCAUUGUAAUUUGGAGAGGCAUCUUCGGUUUGGGCGCCAGCCUAUGUUCCUUGGAACAGGACGUCACAGAGGGUGAGAAUCCCGUGCUUGGCCGGCUGUCCCAUUCCAUGUGAAGUGUCUUCGACGAGUCGAGUUGUUUGGGAAUGCAGCUCAAAAUGGGUGGUAAAUUUCAUCUAAAGCUAAAUAUUGGUGGGAGACCGAUAGCGCACAAGUAGAGUGAUCGAAAGAUGAAAAGCACUUUGAAAAUAGAGUUAAAAAGUACGUGAAAUUGUUGAAAGGGAAGCGCUUGAGACCAGACUCGGCCGGGGAUGAUCAGCUGUCCUUCUGGGCAGUGCACUUGUCUCUGGUCGGGCCAGCAUCGGUUGAGACGGCGGGACAAAGGCUUCGGGAACGUGGCUCCUUUCGGGGAGUGUUAUAGCCCGUCGCGUAAUGCCGCCAGCCUCGACCGAGGACCGCGCUUCGGCUAGGAUGCUUGGCGUAAUGGUCUUCAGCGACCCGUCU